UACGUAGGUGACAAGCGUUGUCCGGAUUUACUGGGCGUAAAGAGCGCGCAGGCGGUCGUUCAAGUCGAGUGUGAAAGCCCCCGGCUCAACUGGGGAGGGUCAUUCGAUACUGAUCGACUCGAAGGCAGGAGAGGGAAGUGGAAUUCCCGGUGUAGUGGUGAAAUGCGUAGAUAUCGGGAGGAACACCAGUGGCGAAGGCGGCUCACUGGUCCGGUACUGACGCUGAGGUGCGAAAGCGUGGGGAGCAAACAGG
rnacentral:rRNA from 1 species